CAGAGUGUAGCUAAGAUAGAAAAGCACCUCCCUUACACUGAGAAGACAUCCGUGCAAAUCGGGUCACCCUGA
rnacentral:tRNA from 1 species